GCUUCCUGUGUCACUGCCCGGGCAGGGUGCCCACAUGGAGGCCAGGUUCUCAAGGGGAAGGGGGCGCUGCCUCCUGUCACCUGUGGCGUCUGGUCCACCCUCAGGACGGCUCCCGGGAGGCCAGCAUCCUUGGUGCACGCCUGCCGUCUGUGGAGCAGGCGCCACUCUGGGUACUUGAGGAGAGGUUGUCUGUGAUGAGUUCGCUUUAUUAAUGACGAAUAUAACACAGAUGGCCUGUUUUCAGUACCACCCACCCCUCGUGGGCCUGAAGCCCGCCCCGUCCAGGGUAUGUGAAUGCAUGGGCUCCACAUCCGUCCUGCAAGAGCUUCCUGGAGGGCACGCUGACUCUGGGAGGCUGAUCAUGAAGCAUUUGCUUGGUGUGUGAGAUGAACAGCUCGGAUUCAGUCUCUUGUCCACGGCCCAAUGCCACUGAAUCACAGGGGGUCCCGGGAGGGGCCCCCCCAACUGGCCCGCACCUGUCAGUCCCCAAGGCCUCCCGCCUAGGGCAGACCCUGUGCAUGGCCUGAGCAUGUGUCCCGGCCACUUCUCGAGUCCCGGCGCCCUGAGACCCAGAGGGACGACGCCCUUCGGAGAAGAGCCCCAGGGCCGGCCUGCCUGCCUGCCUGCCUGCCUGCCUGCCUGCCUGCCGUGCGUGCUGCUCCACUUGGUGCUCGAGGAGAGGCUGCCCGUGGCCGGUUCGCAUUCUUUAUGACGCACAAUACACGGGUCGGCCUCUCUUCGGCAUCAAAUCCCACCUUGCAUGCGUCCUGCACGCUCGCCAGUGUCCGGGUGUCUUCGAGGGCCAAGCACGUGCUGACUCAUCCGAGGGCGGAGGGGCGGGGUUGUGGGUGGGGCUGGGGCGGGGCUAUGUUGUGGGGGUGGGGUUGUGGGCGGGGCCGUGAGGUCGGGGUGGGAACGUCUGGGGAAGCAGCCUCUAGUCUGCUGUCAACCCUGUUCAGUGGUACCUGAAAUAGGUUGCCUGUGAGGUGUUCACUUUUCUAAACGAUGAAUAUUAUACAGUCAACCUCUUUCCGAUAUCCAAUCCCACCUUGGACGCCUCCGGCUCUGGUGCUGAUUCUGAAGCCUCCAUACAGGUUGACCCGGGGACUUGAUGUAGGACAAGCCACUGGCUUGUUCAUUUUCCAGCUGCAUCCAUUCUGGAGGGUUCCUGGGAGCAGCACGGAGCAGAGCCCACCCCGGCUCCCGCGGUCCCUAACUGAUGCACUACCGAGGUGCUGGGCUAGGCUUACCUGCUGAUUCUUCCUUCACGUUGGCAACCCCCAUCCCCCACCCCGACCCUGCCCAGACCCCGCACGGCAGCAUCACCCAGGGCGUGGGAAGGGUCCAGGGCCCCUGGAAAGGUGAGCGCCUCCAAAGGAUGACCUCGGGCUGUUUGGUAUUUGUUAUUUGCCUCCUGGGCUACUGGAAGCCCCUUCUGACACGGGCAUCAUUCCAACCCCCAUGAAGCAACAUCCUUACCUCUGACAUCUCCUCUCCGGGCAUGCUUUUCCCCCCAUUGGUUCCUCUUCCGGCCCAUGGCCUCUCUGUGCCCAGGGCACAGAGGGGUUGCCCCAGCUCCAGGAAGACCAGCAGUGACCACGCCAGUGGAGCGUCCGGCCUCUAAGUUCUACGGACAUUCCUCCUUCUCAUGGGAUCCUCACACUCCCUCUCCAGGCCCUGAGCCCCAGCCCUGCCGGAGGGACCACCCUUUCUGGCCUGGACCACUGCACAGACCCCCCACCUGGCUCUCCUUCCAGGCUUCCUUCUUCUUUUGCCAGGGAGAACCUUCGAGAGUGCAGUCACGCUCUCUCUGUCCUAACCAGAGUGCCUCUGUGCAAACCCCCGCCCCGCCCCGCCCCGCCCUCAUGCUGGGCUCCAAAACAGUAACUAGUGUCUCAGGGCCCCCAGACUGGCCCACCUCCUUCUCUGCCUGCCACACUUUAUGGUUUAUCCCCCUUUUAGGUCCAUCCAUCUUUCUGACAGAGUUGAGUCCUAAGCAUGCCCUUCAUGCUCCUUUUUGGGGACCCUCAGCAGAGUCUCUUGCUUCCCCUUCCCCCCACCAAUUGUUGCCCCCUUUCUAGAGCAGGGGUUUGGGACUCCGGAGGUGAUGAAAUGUCGCUUGCUUGGCAAAGCUGUCUCUGAUCACCCAGUCUAGCCCCUACCUCUUCCUAGCCACCUCUUUUAUCAUCCUGUUAACACUGUCUUCCUAGCUUAUCUGAAAUUACAUGAAAUUAAACUAAAUGGAUGUUAAUAUUUUCUUUCUCUCUCCCCCUUAGAUUGUAAAAUUUCUCAGGGCAGGAGUUUUUUCUGUCAUGUCCCCUGCUGUGCCCACAGUCCUGGGUUCCAGGCCAGGACCAGAGUACAGGAAAGGGCUGCUCCACAGUCCCCGCUGAUGAACCACGCAGAGGGCACCCAGGCCCCAGCAGGCCGACGCACAGCACCCUGCCUGCCUCACUCAGGAAGCUGGGGGAGGCCCCUGCACCCCCCCGCCCCACCACCAUUUGAAGGACCCAGACUGCUCUCCAGGGGGCCAGUCCUGCCGCAUACGGACUGGCCUUCACAUGGACCCUGGGGAGGACCAUGUGGGCCCAGGGGAGAUAAACUUGAGGCCAGUGACCAUGCCCUGUCCCACCAAAUAGCGGGGCUUCUUUGUGCUGGCUAGAAGGAUGUAAGAAUUCCUGUUCUUCCUCUUCAAACACUCUUCAAAUACAGACCAUUUAAGUAAUAAAUACAUGUUAUCAAAA